AGGACGAACGCUGGCGGCGUGCUUAACACAUGCAAGUCGAACGAGGUCCACCGCGUAGCAAUACAAGGGAAGACCUAGUGGCGAACGGGUGCGUAACACGUGAGGAACUUGUCCCGGUCUCUGGGAUAACAGUUGGAAACGACUGCUAAUACCAGAUGACGUCGGAAUCUCGCAUGGGAUACUGACGAAAGGGUUACUGGAUCGGGAGAGCCUCGCGGCCUAUCAGCUUGUUGGUGGGUAAUGGCCCACCAAGGCAUCGACGGGUAGCUGGUCUGAGAGGAUGAUCAGCCACACUGGGACCGAGACACGGCCCAGACUCCUACGGGAGGCAGCAGUGGGGAAUCUUGCGCAAUGGGCGAAAGCCUGACGCAGCAACGCCGCGUGCGGGAAGAAGGCCCUCGGGUGUAAACCGCUUUCAGCAGGAACGAAAUGACGGUACUUGACAGAAGAAGGUGCGGACCAACUACGUGCCAAGCAGCCGC
rnacentral:rRNA from 1 species